rnacentral:lncRNA from 1 species
GAACAUGUUAUAAUAAUUUUGAGAUGUUAAAAAACAACGGUGACACUUGAAUAACAUAAAAUGCAAUUGGCAUUCCAAUUGUAUAUCACAUUGAACUUGCAAUUGGUACUCCAAUUGUCUACACUGGAAAUGUUGACCAACAAAAAAAGCCUGUCAUCAGUAGUAGUUAAGCUUCAUCACAAAGUUCACAAAAUAGAUGAAGCAUUACACGCAAAAGCUUGAUUACAAAUUCUUAAUUCACAGGCAAACAUGUAUCAAGCAUAAAAAAAGGUCCUAAUAAUCUAAGUUAAUAUUCCAUGAUUUAAUUUCAUGCAUCUUCUCCUGGCUUUGGUGUUUUCUCUCCCACUUCAUUAUGCCAUUUCGCGAGCCCGACUACCAAUUGCUUCAUUGUCUCUUCAAACACAUCUGGUGGUAAGACUUUCAAUGUUUGGAAUAUGGUUUCAGCUUCAUUAUGACCAGACUGCAUAACAUUUCAUUCAUAAAUAAAUAAAUAUUCUCUUAAACAUGUUACCACAAGUAAAUACUCUCUUAGUAAAGUUAAAAGACUUACCACAUUAUUAGUCCCCACAGAUUUAGCAGAGUUAUCAGCAACAACUUUUCUUUUCUUGGUAGCAGCUUGUUGUUUCCUUUUCACAACACCACUAGACUGACCAUCAACUACUUUCUUACAAGGUCUCCCCUAAUAAUAGAAUUCAACAUGUUAAAGCAUAAUAAAAGAGAAAAAUAUAAUAGACUGCAAAAAAAAGCAUACUCUUUUCUUAGGUGCAGCAACAGGGGCCUGGCUUAUCUGUGUAGAGAUGUCUAAGACAGAAUCUGUGUUCUAGACCACCAAGCAUCUCAUCAAAAGUCUGGAUCAAUCCCUACAAUAACAAAAAACAGGCACACAAAACAAUUUAAAUAUUCUCAAUAUGUCUAGAACAACAUCAAAUGAAAUGAGCAUAAAGUGUUAAAACACAAACUAAAGUUACCUUUUGUUGAUCACUUAUGA